rnacentral:rRNA from 1 species
UGGGGAAUUUUGGACAAUGGGCGCAAGCCUGAUCCAGCAAUGCCGCGUGUGUGAAGAAGGCCUUCGGGUUGUAAAGCACUUUUGUCCGGAAAGAAAACCUCGUGGUUAAUACCCGUGGGGGAUGACGGUACCGGAAGAAUAAGCACCGGCUAACUACGUGCCAGCAGCCGCGGUAAUACGUAGGGUGCAAGCGUUAAUCGGAAUUACUGGGCGUAAAGCGUGCGCAGGCGGUCCGCUAAGACAGAUGUGAAAUCCCCGGGCUUAACCUGGGAACUGCAUUUGUGACUGGCGGGCUAGAGUAUGGCAGAGGGGGGUAGAAUUCCACGUGUAGCAGUGAAAUGCGUAGAGAUGUGGAGGAAUACCGAUGGCGAAGGCAGCCCCCUGGGCCAAUACUGACGCUCAUGCACGAAAGCGUGGGGAGCAAACA